CAUGAACGCUGGCGGCGUGCCUAAUACAUGCAAGUCGAGCGAACAGACGAGGAGCUUGCUCCUCUGACGUUAGCGGCGGACGGGUGAGUAACACGUGGAUAACCUACCUAUAAGACUGGGAUAACUUCGGGAAACCGGAGCUAAUACCGGAUAAUAUAUUGAACCGCAUGGUUCAAUAGUGAAAGACGGUUUUGCUGUCACUUAUAGAUGGAUCCGCGCCGCAUUAGCUAGUUGGUAAGGUAACGGCUUACCAAGGCAACGAUGCGUAGCCGACCUGAGAGGGUGAUCGGCCACACUGGAACUGAGACACGGUCCAGACUCCUACGGGAGGCAGCAGUAGGGAAUCUUCCGCAAUGGGCGAAAGCUUGACGGAGCAACGCCGCGUGAGUGAUGAAGGUCUUCGGAUCGUAAAACUCUGUUAUUAGGGAAGAACAAAUGUGUAAGUAACUAUGCACGUCUUGACGGUACCUAAUCAGAAAGCCACGGCUAACUACGUG
rnacentral:rRNA from 1 species